UAGCUCAAUUGGUGGAGCGCAAGUCUCUUAACCUUGUGGUUGUGGGUUCAAGCCCCAC
rnacentral:tRNA from 1 species